CCAAACCAAACACAGCGUUAGGGUCCACCCCUCGUUUUGCUGAUCUAAAUUCCAAUAGCCAUAAUCUUAUCAUUUUAUCACGUUUGUGUUUAAAAAAAAAAAAAAAAAUUAGAUAGUUUAUUUUCAAAAACACAUUUAUUGUCUAUUUUCAGGGACAAACAUGAUAAAAUGAUAAGGUUACGAUUACUAAAUCGACCUAAUUAUUUUUUUGAAUGAUAUACUAAGGGCCUUGUAAAUUUAAUGAUUUUGGAUUAUCAAAACAAGAUCCUUGAUGGGUCUCACAUGCCUAAACAAUUAUUCCAAGUUCAAAUUUAAAUUUGAAAGAAGGCAAUCUUGUUGUUAACUUAUUCUAAUGUUAAUUCUGACACAUGGCAAUUGAUAUGUCCUACAAAUUUAAUGUCACUACAAUAAAUUAAGAUUUUUGUAAUGCUCAAACUUUUAUUACUCAGAUAUCGUUACUAAUUUUUAAUAUUUAAGUCAAUUUAUACGAUAAUAAAUUGCGGAAGCACGAUAAAGAAAGAAUAAACCAUAAAUGUCCCAUCUCGUAAAUACAUUGAUGAAAUGUUCAAAUAUAAUACUUAUAACAAAUGCCUUUAAGCUUAUGUUACAGAAUUUCAGAAUAGACAACUACAAUGAAAAGAAAUACAUUAGUCCUACCACACCUUGGCAUUUUGCUUAAAAUUAACAAACUUCAAAUCCCACAAAUAAAUUAAACUUCUUGAUUCUUGGACGAAGCAUCCAACUUCGCACUUGAAAAGUGGUGUAAUAACUGGGAUGAACAAAUAUGUCCAAUAGGGAUCUCUGAUGAUUCUAAACAAUAAUAACUUAUAGAUAUAUAUGAUCAUGAAAGUUCCAAAUCAAUACAUAUACAUAUACGUAAUGUUCUCUUUGAUAUCCAAAAUAUUAUUGUAUAUAUUUCCAAAGAAUCCAUGUUUAGUAAUUGAAGAAAAUAAAUUCUCAUCUUUCCAAAUUCACUUUCAAUUAUUUCCAAGUUUUCCCUUCACUUUGUUUAUAAUCAAAACCAUGUCAAUGCAGAUAAUCUCAAUAGCUAACAAUUAACAAUCCACAGAUAACACCCAUGACUACUAGCUCAAUUACACAUGUUGAUUAUUAACUACAACAUCGUUAUGUACUUAACUAUAUUCUUAUGGGACAUAUUCAUCAACCAAUAACUCAACAGAAAUACAUACACCAACUGUGAAAUCUCAAAUACAGAACAUCCCGUGGUCUUCCCAAGCCCUACAUCAGAGCCCCGCUUUAUCAGUUGCUAGUCGGAAGGAACGCGGUACCUAUAUAAAGCACGGCCUGUUUUAUCGGUUGCUAGUCGGAAGGAAUGCACCCCUACUAUUUAGCACCACCUGCUUUACCGGUGGCUAACUGAAAGGAACACAUUACCUCUAUAUAACCCAGCAUGCUUUACUGGUUGCUAGCUGAAGGGUCACGUUACCUUUAUAUAACACAAUCACAUUCCACAAAACAUCACCUUCUCAAAUUACUUCUAUUCAUUCUCAUCUACGUACAUGGUUACACAAACUCAUAAUGUUUUCAAGUCAUUCUAAAUUACACAAUUAAUCAACAACACAUAACCUAUUGUACAACAACCAAUACCAUCCUCUAUCGAUAACCAACGACAAAACCUCUAAGCAUUAAUUAAUAUAAGCUCUUAUAAAUAAAACAACGUAAUUCUUAUAAUUUUCAUACCUUCAAUAACAUCAAUAUAUAGUCUAAUUCGUUAUCAACAAAUCAUUCCAUAAUCAAUUCUCUUGUUUUCAAUAAUCAAUAAUUUUCAACCUAUCCCAAAUUCAUGGCAGCCGAUUACUUCUUUCUCUUUCUAAUUCUCAACAAAAUCAAUAUAGCUCAAUGCUUAUGAAAUCAUCAUUUCUCAUAAAUCAUAAAUUAAAAAAAAAAAUAGGACUUCUUACAUUAAACAUCGUAAAUAUUUUUCAUUAGCUCACAAUUCCCAUAAUCAAUAGCAAAAUCCAAUAUUAAAUACUUUUAAUUCGAAACCCUAACCUUCAUCUUUAUGCAUUUCAAAAUCUCAUAACAAAAUCAUAUUUUUAUGUAAUAAAAAGUACCACAUAUCUAUGUAUAACGAAAUAUUGAAAAGAAGCAAAGAUAUUUAUACCUCUUGAAAUGAAGAGAAGAAACCUGAAAAAUCAAUUUCGCCGGAACUUCGAUCCAAUCAAUCAAAAUGAAGCCCUCGUUGAACUUGUCAUUUUGAUCUAAAGAACUAUUAUCAAAAUCUUCUUUGAUGCUUGGAUUGAAGGAUUUGUGUAUUUUUGACAAUGGUUCUAAGAUAGAUAACAGAAAUAGAGAGAGAGAGAGAGAGAGAGAGAGAGAGAGAGAGAAGGUUUGUCAAAAAGUGAGUAGAGGGAGUAUGGGUCAAUAUAUAGUGCAAGGAAAAAAAUGGGUUUGGACCCACAAAUUUGACUCAAAUUGAUAGCAAAAAUACGCUAAAUUCAAAUAGACCGCUUAAGCGGUGAAUGAAAACUCUCAACAUCUCUACUUUCUUGAACAGACUGCUCGAGCAAUCAAAAGUUUGCUCGAGAAAUGAAUUAAUACUUGCAGUAUCUCAGACAAUUUUCAAUCACUCGAGUGCUCAAACUUGCGCUUGAGUGAACUAUGCCAACAACUUAGAUUUGCAAACUUCAAACGAGUAUAACUCUCUCGUUUGGACUUCGUUUUGGUCAUUCUUGUGUCUAAAUCGAAGCCCCGAAGUUAAGCUUUUCAAUGAUUUUAGCCUCACAUUACGAUUCAAAGUGUGAAGAGAGAAAAUGGUAAAAGAGUGAUGACUACUCAAAAGACAAUAAUGCGAAUCAAGGCUUUUGGUCAAAUCUCACCCCACUAUCAUAAUGACACCACAAUCCAUGCUCUAACAUCAACUAAAGAGGUUCUAAUUAUGAUAGUAAGGCAGUCGAGGGUAAUCCCACACUUCUCCGAUCCAUCCUUACGUUCGAAACUCAAACAUUUUCACUCGCUUUAACUCUUUAACAUCGACACACGACACAACACUUGAGAUUCUGAAUGUAAAAUGAUAGUUUGAAAGGCACACUCAAACCAGGUCAAUGACCUGGGACAUCACAUACUUUCCACCUUAGGAAAUUUCGUUCUCGAAAUUAUGACAAUAAAAUGAUUAAAACAGUAUGACAACAAUUGACACUAAGGUUCAAAAUGGGACAAUCACAAAGAACUACAACCACCAAUUCAAAAUAUAGAUCAGUACUUGAGAUAGUAUCCUAGAUUUCGGCCUCUCAUCUCGGUGCCCUAAGGCCACCCGAGCAACAAAGAUAGCAAGAUAAUGACAUAAUGAGUCACUUACGAUUCAUCUACUAUAACAAAAAGAGGUUUUGGUCAAACAAAAAGAGGUUGUUGGAUAGGGUCACUAAAGAUAUUGUUGAAAUACCAAAUAUUUUCACUUCGUAGCAACCAUACGGGCAAAGAAGAAAAUGAUAGAUUGCUUGCGUUUGGAGGAUGGUGUGUUCGUUACUGAUCAUAAAGAAAUUCAACAUGCUUUUUUGGAUUAUUUUUAAGAAGCUAUACCAUAGCCAUGGCCUUGUUGAUUCAGGUACUCCUAAUUCCUUGUCCUAUCCAAGUAAUUUUCAAUUGUUGUCUGCUAUAAACUAUAAAACUUUUGAAGAACAUAAAGUUUUGUUGGAUUCCCCUUUCGUGAUGGAAGAGGUUAAAGAGGCUGUGUUUUCCAUGGGAGGGCUUAAAGCUCUAGGUUUUGACGGAAAAAUAGCAGCCCUUUAUCAAAUACACUAGGGGAUAGCGGGGGGAAUCAGUUGUCUCGGUUGCUUUUUUGUUUUUUUUGUUUUUUUAAAUUCUAUUCAUAUAUAGAGAAGGUAUCUAUUUUCCAUUUAGCUUUAUGCGUGAUAUUUCUCGAAUUUAUAUGCAGAAAAGGUAUCUAUUUUCCAUUUAGCUCUAUGGAUGAGAUUUCUCAAAUUUAAAUUUAAAUUUGAGAAGAUUGUUCGGGUACGUAGGGUCCAUCCCUCAAUUUGACGAUCCAAAUUCCGAUAAUCAAAAUCUUAUCAUUUUAUCACGUUUGUGUUAAAAAAAAAACAAGGAUAAUUUAUUUUCAAAAGGGCACUCGGUCCAUAAAUCCAAAUUCUAAUUUUGUUUGGUGAACAGUCCAGUUGUUGAAAUUGUUUGUCUAAAAGGACAUGCUCAAGCAAAAUGACCAAUAUACCCUUACUUAUCUAUACUAUUAUAUAUGUGAGCACAUGACUUGGUGUCAAAGACUAUGGUGGCCUCUCUUUUUUCUAUCCUAAAAUAAAAAAAUGGCAAAUUACAGAAAUGGUCCUUAUAGUUUACCCGUGGUUUCAUUUUGGUCUGUGUACUUUUAAUUGCAUCAAUUUUGGUCCUGCAGUUUGGUUUUUGGUUCUAUGUGGUCCCAUAGUUAACAGCUGUUGGCUUUUUGGACAGAAACCCCACACGUGCCUUGUACGCAAGGGACUUGCAAGGGCAAGGUUGUCAUUUCGACACCCCUACCCAUUUUCUCCAAUUCUGCAACUGAUACAAGGCAUAUAUAUAUAUAUAUAUAUAUGUACAUAAUAUAUUACGUAUGUGGAUUAAGGGAAAGACGAAGAAGACGAGAGAAAGAAAAUGGAAUCAAUCUAUUGCUAAUGUAGGUUGAGGGCUAGAGUAUGCACAUCUUGGACUGAGAAUAAUCCUUCAGAAGGUUUUUGGGUUGUCCUCGAUAUGAAACUAGGGAUGCUUGUGGGUUCUUCAUAUGGAUUGAUCCUCCUUCUGGUGCCCGAGUUCAAGAGGUGAUUAAUGGAUUACUUGGAAGAAUUGGGGUCAUUGAAGACCAGGUCCGAUUGCAUAGAGGAAGAGAAAGGAAACUGCUGAUCUUUAUAGUGAUGUCAUGGAUAUUUUUCUUAUGGUGCUACCUUACAACAGAGCAAGAUGAGGAAGUUGCUGGUAGCAACAAUGACAAUGAUUUGACAUAAACUAGGUUGCUUUUUUUUUUUUUUUAUGUAUAUGGGAAUUGGAAUAAGAAUUGUAGAUGUAGGUGUUUCAUGUUUUAAUGUUUUGAAUUUGGAUUGUGUUAGUUUUGUGAACAAUGAUAGAAUAACAUAUGCAAUGACAACGAUGUGUAAUGUUGUGUGAAUAGCUGAAAUAAAAUGGGUUUUGUAUUUUUGUGAA